CUGCGCGCCUACCAUGCAGUUCGAGCGCGAAAGGCUUUCGGGCUGAGUAGAGCGGCGGACGGGUGAGUAACGCGUAGGAAUCUACCUGGUAGUGGGGGACAACUUGGGGAAACUCAAGCUAAUACCGCAUACGCCCUAAGGGGGAAAGCGGGGGACCUUCGGGCCUCGCGCUAUCAGAUGAGCCUGCGUAGGAUUAGCUUGUUGGUGAGGUAAAGGCUCACCAAGGCGACGAUCCUUAGCUGGUCUGAGAGGAUGAUCAGCCACACCGGGACUGAGACACGGCCCAGACUCCUACGGGAGGCAGCAGUGGGGAAUAUUGCGCAAUGGGGGCAACCCUGACGCAGCCAUGCCGCGUGUGUGAAGAAGGCCUUCGGGUUGUAAAGCACUUUAAGUGGGGAGAGAAGGGUAGGCGUUAAUAGCGUUUAUCUGUGAUGUUACCCACAGAAUAAGCACCGGCUAACUCCGUGCCAGCAGCCGCGGUAAUACGGAGGGUGCGAGCGUUAAUCGGAAUUACUGGGCGUAAAGCGCGCGUAGGCGGUUUGUUAAGUCAGCUGUGAAAGCCCCGGGCUCAACCUGGGAACUGCAGUUGAUACUGGCCGACUAGAGUACGACAGAGGGAAGUAGAAUUCCAUGUGUACCGGUGAAAAUGCGUAUAUAUAUGGAGGAAUA
rnacentral:rRNA from 1 species